rnacentral:rRNA from 1 species
GGGGCGGGCGGCUGCUAAUACAUGCAAGUCGAGCGAAUGGAUUAAGAGCUUGCUCUUAUGAAGUUAGCGGCGGACGGGUGAGUAACACGUGGGUAACCUGCCCAUAAGACUGGGAUAACUCCGGGAAACCGGGGCUAAUACCGGAUAACAUUUUGAACCGCACGGUUCGAAAUUGAAAGGCGGCUUCGGCUGUCACUUAUGGAUGGACCCGCGUCGCACUAGCUAGUUGGUGAGGUAACGGCUCACCAAGGCGACGAUGCGUAGCCGACCUGAGAGGGUGAUCGGCCACACUGGGACUGAGACACGGCCCAGACUCCUACGGGAGGCAGCAGUAGGGAAUCUUCCGCAAUGGACGAAAGUCUGACGGAGCAACGCCGCGUGAGUGAUGAAGGCUUUCGGGUCGUAAAACUCUGUUGUUAGGGAAGAACAAGUGCUAGUUGAAUAAGCUGGCACCUUGACGGUACCUAACCAGAAAGCCACGGCUAACUACGUGCAGCACCCCCGGGGAAAAAAAA